UUAGGACACCAUUGCCGCCGCGGCCAUAACCUUGGGCUUCUACGUGAUCCAAUUCCAAUAUCUACCCCCCAAUACCUAGGCAACUAGGUGCUAGCUGUUGCGCGUGUUGGCAUCUUACUGCCCAGUCAGCUAGGCGAUGUACGUUGUGCGCCUGCUGCUUGGUGUCACUCUUGUUGUAAUGUUGUUGUUCGACUGAUGUCGGUUACUGCUGCCGUUAUAGACGAUUCUUAUGAUGUAUCGGCGGGAGUGUGUGGUUCUUCAAAAAAAUAUUACUAGCACACGAGCAACUUUCUUUUCAAGGUUUCUUGCUAGUACAUCACUAGUGUACUAGACUAUUGAUUAGUGCGUGAUUGAUGAUAUAGUUACUGCUGAUUAGUGCA